UCAGGGGCACUGUACCUGCCUAGCUAGUGCAAGGUCCUGAGUUCAGUCCCUGGUACUAGAAAAAUAAAUAAAUAAAUAAAAUAAAAUGAUUGUGCUACAGAAUUUGUCAGCUCAAAAUGAAUUUUCAUCAAGUUAGUUUGUUCAUUAAAAACAAUAUGGAAAACAUGUUCCCUAAGAGUUUACUGAUUAAUCCAACAUCAGUGAAACUAAAUGAAAAAGUAUCAGGGAAAGUAGUAUCUCCUUGUAUUUGAGUUUUUCAUGACUAUGACCAGGACUCUACUCAAUUCUAAAUUUGGUAAUCAAAAUAGAAGAAUAUAAAGCAAUUUCAGAUUAGCACAGUAAUUGUCUAUACAACCAGCUGCAUGUUUUAUCAUUCACAUGUAUUAUUUACAUGCAUAUAUGAUCUUCAUAUUCACAUUUUCAAAAGAAUCAUGGGUUAAUUAGUUGAUUCCAGUUAUUUUUAUUGUUGAGUUGGAAAUCAAAGGUGUCUGUGUCUUUAUCACCUGGUUCUCAUUAACUCUACCUGAAAUGCUUAUUGAAAAGGCAGGGGAAAGGGAGACUAGAGAGGAAAAGGAAGAAAGAGCUAUAGAAGUUGUCAUGUAAUUUAUGGCUCCCAACAAUUAUAUUUGCUAAAAAAAGACAGUGACGCUCAGGCUGGUUGUGAAACCUGAUGACAAUAACCUAGGUGCCCCCAGAACCCUGCUUCAUGUUGUUUGUGUCUAAAUUAGUUGUCUACCUCAUUAUGUCAAACAUGAGAGAGUCAUUUUGUUCCUAGGACAUGGAGGGAAUCAAAAGUAGUAAGACAUUUUCAUUUCAUUUUGACCAGGGGUUCUAAAUUAUAUUAAUCUAGACUUUCUUUUAAAAGAAAAAAGAAGAAAAGUCAACUUCCAGUGCAUUACGUUUCCUGUCCACUAGUAGAGUAAGCUGGAAAAAUAUGGUGAAAUGAUCAUAUUCAAGUGACUUUCAAUAAAUUAAUAUAAUAAUACCCUUGAUUAAGAAAACCAUGAGAAGGAAUUAAUUGUAUUAGAAUACAUAAAAGAAAAAAUGAAUAGCAAUGAAUAAUGAGGUCAACAAGUUGGUCACAUGAAUGACAGGUGCAGGAAUAUAAAAUGAUAAAUGAAGCAAUGGGGAAUGUGAUGUGCUCUCAUUAAGAGAAAAGUAAAAUUAAUUUACUAAAAUUAAAUUUAAGUCUCAAAGGAAAAGGAUAGUGCUCCACUGAAAACAUCCAUAAAGCAAGUCACUUUGAAAGAAGCUGUUUAGGCAAGUGACAAGGAGAAAGUGAAAAGGUGGUGGUAUGAACCAAAGAUGUCCCAAAAGCAAGUACAAAAGUAGCAAGAUGCCAUCAGAUUCCAGGUAGAACUUUAUACUGAUGCUUUGAAAUCAGUGAGGUCUGAACCUGUCAUGGAAUUCUCAGAUUACACAAUUUCCACCAACUCUAAUUAGACAUAUUCCCAAGAGAGUGAAUGACCAGUAAACUGGAGUUUGGGGAAGGGCUGCUGACUGUCUCAGUGUGGGGCCCACUGCUUUGAAACUCAUUGUUCUUCAAAGCUUAAUAACUUUCAAAAGAAAGGAUUAAUUCUCCUUCUAUUAUUUCUCAAACCAGAAGGAGCUCUGAACUGAAAACAGGAUCCAAAAUUGGAGUUUUUAUUUUUGCCUGUGCCAAAACACUAUGAAAUCUUAGGAGACUCUCAUAAUAUCUUCAUGCUCUCUGAUACCAUUACCUUCUCCUAUAGAAUUGAGGUUACAACUCAAUAGACAGUUCAGAUGUUAUAAUUUAUUCAGUGAUAGGGUAAAAAAUGGAAAUAGAAUACUUGCAAAUUUAGGAGAUUGCUAUUUCAGGAGUGGAGUGUGACAGGGCAUGACAGAAGGACAUGUGGAUGUGGCUACAGUCAGUAGACACAUUAGUGGAAAAUUCCAUCAUACAUGAAAAGAAUCAUCACUUGUGGUUAGAUUGUUUUCAGCAAUUUGGGAAGGAGGAAGGCUGGAUUGUUGGAGAAUUUUAAUGUGCUUUCAUUGAAUAUGGCUCAGUAUGACUUGGAUGCAGGCACACCAGGGAAGGAGAGAGCAGCACUGAGAUAGGGAGGAGUGAGCAGGUCACAUCACGAAGGAAUCUGGCAACAUAUUACCUCUAGAGUUUUGACUUAAUUCUGAGGGCUAUCUGGAGCCAUUGAAAGGCCUAUUUCUCACAGGGGCUGACACUGUUAAAUGUGUAAGGAAGAAAGAUCUCUUUACCAGCUCUGUGGAAAUGGCCCAGAGUGGGGCAAGAUGGCCAGUAGGCAGGACAGUAGGAGCUCAAAGUUCUCACGUAGGAGGUUCCUAUCACAAGCGUCAUUUGGAGGGAGUGGUCCAGGGGAGGAAGAACUAAUGUUCCUGGAUCCUUAACUCUCUAUUGAUUGGUGGCGAAGAUGAUCUAUAGAGAAUUCUACAACAUUUUCAGAUAAAGGUCACCUCAAAUGGGAGUAAAAUAUGGCUUAAUUGUACUCCCACUGAGAAGAGACAGUUGGGUUCCUUUCAAUUUCAAAAACAGUGGAAGAAGUGAGAGAAGGCUUUGCUGAGUAACUUGAUCAUUCUGAAGACAUAAUAAAACCAACCAAGGCAGACAUAACUGAAAAAACACAGAAACAGAGGAUAAUAUUCCCUCAGGUUGAGAAACUUCAAAAGCACAUUUUCAGGAUGGGGAGGAAGAGCCUUUGAAGACAAAGUAUUCAUGGUGGAAACCAACAGCCUGAGCUCCUUCUGCCUGUGCCCCAUGGCCAAGAUUCUCAGCUCAUCAUCCUCUGCCUGCCACCCAAGCCUAGGAAUAGUCCCUGUUCUGUUCCUUCAUCAUCCCUCCCCUGUACCUCAUGGGAUGGAGACUAGAGAAAUUCUUUUCAUUCCCUUGCCCUUUGGAAGAUACACCAGUGUUUUAAUUUUGUUAUGCCCUAAAGCUGAGAACCACUUGCUUGGUAAUUUACUAUCUCACAGACAGAAUUACCAGAGAAAUGUGUGCUGUUUUCUCUAUGCUGACUGAACAUGCAAAUAUAAUAAAUAUUUAUUCUCAA